rnacentral:rRNA from 1 species
GCAGCCGCCGCGGUAAUACGAAGGGUGCAAGCGUUACUCGGAAUUACUGGGCGUAAAGCGUGCGUAGGUGGUGGUUUAAGUCCGUUGUGAAAGCCCUGGGCUCAACCUGGGAAUUGCAGUGGAUACUGGGUCACUAGAGUGUGGUAGAGGAUAGUGGAGUUUCCGGUGUAGCAGUGAAAUGCGUAGAGAUCGGAAGGAACAUCUGUGGCGAAGGCGACUAUCUGGGCCAACACUGACACUGAGGCACGAAAGCGUGGGGAGCAAACAGGAUUAGAUACCCCUGUAGUCCCUGUCUCUUAUAC